rnacentral:lncRNA from 1 species
GGGUCAUGAAAAUCAUCUAUAAAUAGAGAGGGUCUCUACCUAUGGAUAAAAAGAAGAGAAUAGAAUAGCAAAUAAAUCAAAUUGAGAAAAGAGAAAAAGAGAAAGGGACAGACGUGUGAAGAGAGAGGUCCUUCAUCUUCUACAUCUCUCCCUUUGUUGCCACCUCCUCUCUUUGGGUGUGGAUCCUUCUUGGGCAUCCUACCUAUUGG